rnacentral:rRNA from 1 species
GAUGAACGCUGGCUACAGGCUUAACACAUGCAAGUCGAGGGGAAACGACGGGGAAGCUUGCUUCCCCGGGCGUCGACCGGCGCACGGGUGAGUAACGCGUAUCCAACCUGCCUCUGACUGAGGGAUAACCCGUCGAAAGUCGGCCUAAUACCUCAUGGUAUCGUCUGCGGGCAUCCAACGACGAUUAAAGAUUUCAUCGGUCAGGGAUGGGGAUGCGUCUGAUUAGCUUGUUGGCGGGGUAACGGCCCACCAAGGCUACGAUCAGUAGGGGUUCUGAGAGGAAGGUCCCCCACAUUGGAACUGAGACACGGUCCAAACUCCUACGGGAGGCAGCAGUGAGGAAUAUUGGUCAAUGGGCGAGAGCCUGAACCAGCCAAGUAGCGUGCAGGAUGACGGCCCUAUGGGUUGUAAACUGCUUUUAUGCGGGGAUAAAGUGAGGGACGUGUCCUUCAUUGCAGGUACCGCAUGA